CUACAGAGGGUGCAAGCGUUAAUCGGAUUUACUGGGCGUAAAGCGCGCGUAGGCGGCUAAUUAAGUCAAAUGUGAAAUCCCCGAGCUUAACUUGGGAAUUGCAUUCGAUACUGGUUAGCUAGAGUGUGGGAGAGGAUGGUAGAAUUCCAGGUGUAGCGGUGAAAUGCGUAGAGAUCUGGAGGAAUACCGAUGGCGAAGGCAGCCAUCUGGCCUAACACUGACGCUGAGGUGCGAAAGCAUGGGGAGCAAACAGGAUUAGAAACCCCAGUAGUCC
rnacentral:rRNA from 1 species